rnacentral:tRNA from 1 species
UCCCUGAUGGUCUAGUGGCUAGGAUUCGGUGCUCUCACAGCAGCGGUCAGAGUUUGAUUCCCGGUCAGGGAA